rnacentral:lncRNA from 1 species
CCUUUAUUAAUGAUAUGAGCAGGCAAUCAUGAAAACGGCAUGGAGUGACAUAACCGCCCUUGUCAUGAUAAGCCACCCUUCUUAAUGGCCUGAUGUGACAAUCGCUUGGAGAUUUUGGAUUGAAGUCGUUAGGCACUUCGGCCGAACCAGGGAUUGAAGAGAGUAAGCCUUGGGGGCCGGUCACGUACCGCUAGAUGGCAUGAUCCGAUCAAUAGUUCAGAGGGACAUAACCCAUCACAAAGUGCCAUGAUCUGGUAGGACCACGAAGGGGUUACCUUUCUCCGAAACAUUUUGAUAUAGUCACUGG